rnacentral:rRNA from 1 species
GUCUACGGCCAUACCACCCUGAACGCGCCCGAUCUCGUCUCAUCUCGGAAGCUAAGCAGGGUCGGGCCUGGUUAGUACUUGGAUGGGAGGAUUAGGAGACUUUCUCU